rnacentral:rRNA from 1 species
GAUGAACGCUGGCGGCGUGCCUAAUACAUGCAAGUCGAGCGAACAGACGAGGAGCUUGCUCCUCUGACGUUAGCGGCGGACGGGUGAGUAACACGUGGAUAACCUACCUAUAAGACUGGGAUAACUUCGGGAAACCGGAGCUAAUACCGGAUAAUAUAUUGAACCGCAGGGUUCAAUAGUGAAAGACGGUUGUGCUGGCACUUAUAGAUGGAUCCGCGCCGCAUUAGCUAGUUGGUAAGGUAAAGGCUUACCAAGGCAACGAUGCGUAGCCGACGUGAGGGGGUGAUCGGCCACCCUGGAGCUGGGCCACGGUCCAGACUCCUACGGGAGGCAGCAGUAGGGAAUGUUCCGCAAUGGGCGAAAGCCUGACGGAGCAAGGCCGCGUGAGUGAUGAAGGUCUUCGGAUCGUAAAGCUCUGUUAUUAGGGAAGAACAAAUGUGUAAGUAACUAUGCACGUCUUGACGGUACCUAAUCAGAAAGCCACGGCUAACUACGUG